UCCCUGGUGGUCUAGUGGUUAAGACUCUGGCUCCAAUGCAGGGGGCACAGGUUUGAUCCCUGGUCCGGGAA
rnacentral:tRNA from 1 species